ACCAGCCCCGACGCCGCCACCCUGGUCAGCCACAGGCCGGCCGCGCCCCAGCCACCCCAGGGCAAGCCUUGUGGAAGGAGGGUUAGAUCAUAGAAGACAACACAGCUUCUGCUGUAUUGGAAAACAGUUGGCUCCUGGAACUCAGCCACUAAUUUGUAAGGAAGCACAAGUCAGGGAGAGGCCACGCGUAGAAGGUGUUUCAGUUGAUCACGCCAGCUGGGUCCCCAGCUGACAACCAGCAUCAUCUGUCACAUCUAUGAGUGAAUGAGCCCUCAGAUGAGUGGAACCUCCAGCCUUGGAGUUUACUUGCUGAAGCCCCCCAGACAUUGUGGAGCAGAGAUAAGCCAUCCUCUACUGCCUGAAUUCCUGACCCCCAGAAACCAUGAGAGCAUUUUCAACACUUUAUAACUAGUUCCCUGGAUUAAAUCACCUGAUUUGAAAUGCUAAUAUGAUUACUGUUUCCUGACUGGAUUCUGAUGCACAUAGUGAUUUGAGCAGAACACUGAGGUUCAGAGAAGUUCUAGCACUCAUUCUUUUGCAUUCAUCCGCUGUAACGAAAUCCAAGGCCUGUGAGGUUCCUAUGGUGGAGCUCCUGGUGACUCAUCCUGUGCCUGAAGCAGCUUCAAGUGUUUGCCUUCUUUGCAUGUCUGGAACUGCUGGGCACCACUGAGCUGUCACCUGGCUUGGGAGAACCACUGAAUCAAGACUGGAACCAAUUAGCAUGGGAAACAUGCCAGCUCGUCCUCCACAUCCCCAGCAGGCACAGCCCGGUUUCUUUGCUGCUGAGAACUCCUCACUGAGGGAAGGCCCCGGUGCUCCAGUGAGACAAAGGAAGAACGGUUCCCCUCUCGCAUUGGUAACCUGGUAGGUGGCCUUGGC